rnacentral:rRNA from 2 species
AUCCCAUCUCGAACUCGGAAGUGAAACGACAUAGCGCCGAUGAUAGUGUGGGGUUUCCCCAUGUUAAAGUAGGACACUGCCAGGU